GUUCGAGCGUCAUUUAAACCAAUCCAGCUUGCUGGGUCUUGGGCUUUCGCCUUCGGGCGGGCCUUAAAAUCAGUGGCGGUGCAUCCGGCUCUAAGCGUAGUAAUUCUUCUCGCUAUAGGGUCCCGGGUGGAGGCUUGCCAACCAACCCCCAAUUUUCAAAGGUUGACCUCGGAUCAGGUAGGGAUACCCGCUGAACUUAA
rnacentral:misc_RNA from 1 species